rnacentral:rRNA from 1 species
UACGUAGGGGGCAAGCGUUGUCCGGAAUCAUUGGGCGUAAAGAGCGCGUAGGCGGUCCGGUAAGUCCGCUGUGAAAGUCGGGGGCUCAACCCUCGAAUGCCGGUGGAUACUGUCGGGCUAGAGUGCGGAAGAGGCGAGUGGAAUUCCUGGUGUAGCGGUGAAAUGCGCAGAUAUCAGGAGGAACACCAAUUGCGAAGGCAGCUCGCUGGGACGUUACUGACGCUGGAGACGCGAAAGCCGUGGGGAGGCAAACAGG